rnacentral:lncRNA from 10 species
CCAAUAUAUAUAUAUUCAUAUAUUCAUAUAUAUAUAUAUAUUCAUAUAUUCAUAUAUAUAUAUUCAUAUAUUCAUAUAUAUAUAUAUAUAUAUAUAUAGCAAAACCUCAUCUCUAAUAAAAUACAAAAAUUAGCUGAGCGUGGUGAUGCAUGCCUGUAGUCCCAGCUACUCGGGAGGCUGAGGCAGGAGAAUCUCUUGAACCUGGGAGGUGGAGGUUGCAGUGAGCUGAGAUGGUGCCACUGCCCUCCAGCCUGAGUGACAGAGCGAGACUCGGUCUCCAAAAAAAAACAACAAAAAAAUCUUCCAUCCUUGUCUCCCAUCCACCCCUUCCCCCCAGCAUGUACUUGCAGACUUUAUGCAUAUACAGUGAGUACUGUAUAUACACAAAUAAUAAAAAAAUCAUAUAUAUAAUAUAUGUAAUUCCCCUUUACAUGAAAGGUAGCACACUGGUCUGUACAGUCUGUCUGCACUGUGCUAUUUCACUUUAUAUUUUUAUAGUUUGACAGAGUUCUAACAUUUCUUUUUUUUUUUUUUUAACAGAGUCUUGUUCCUGAUUGUUAAAUUUUAAAGCAUCCCAAAGUUUGGUUUCACACUUGAAUGAAUACCAUAAAUUCCAAAGAACAUGGAAAGGAGACCACAGGAAGAAUCCAGAACUGCUGCCCAUCAUAAAAUUUUUCCAUCUGCAAUUUGUGUCUACAGUGUGCCAGUUAUUGAUGAGGGUGAGGCUGAAGGUGGGACAGUGUGGGGGAGAUUUUUUAAUUGCUCCCCAAUUACCAUAUUCCUCUUUUCUUUUCUUUUUUCUUUUUGAGACAGAGUCUCGCUCUGUAGACCAGGCUAGAGUGCA